CCUUGGUGAGUAUUUCCAGAAGAGGCUCAUAGGGAAGAGAUUGUAUGAAAGUUGGGUCUUUGUGCCUUUCUUCAUCGCUCUGCCUUUCUUCAUAGUUUUGCCUUUCCUCAUCGUUUUACAACUAGAUGAGGUGGUUUGUGCUUGGACAAGUAUGAAUAAAUACACUAACUCUCAUGUAACCCAAAAGUCAUUCAUGCACAAUUUCGUAAUUAAUUAUCACAAUUUCCUAAUUAUGCCUAGUUUUUUAAGCUUCUUGUUUGUGUAUGCACAAUAACCAACUAGAUGAGGUGGUUGAGACUUUACAACCCAACCAUGCAUGCACAAUAAAGGACAACAAAAGGCUAUGUUGGAAUUUAAACACUACAAUUACAACAAAAUUAAAUGAACAAAGAACAAACUUAGUACCUAUCUCUAUCACAUAAUAUAUCACAAAAUAUAUUCACUUCUUGAUGCCAUCUACAGGCAUUAUAAGUAGUGAAUCUUUCAUGGUUAGAUGCAUCCUAAUGAGUUCAGAGUGUGAUCGGACCCUGUUGACUUCCACAAUCAUUGCAAGGUUUAAUGUUAUCAUCGUGAAGUUUUAGGAUUCGAGCCUUCACUUCCCUAUCCACCCAAAAACCCGACAAACACAGGUGAAACCUUUCUCAAUAUUCCAUUACACUCAGCUGUCCUGAGUUGUGACGGUUGAGAGAAUAGAGAAGUUUGAGCCCUUCAUGCUUGGAAUCCCACAUGUGGCACACAAAGAAUGCACCGUACAAAUACAUUGCUACUUGAUGGCUCUCAAAGAUCGCAUUCUUAAGCCACUCAAUCCGGCUUCUUCUUUGUUGUCUCGGAAGAAGUAUCGCAUCCUCACC
rnacentral:lncRNA from 1 species